UACGGAGGGUGCAAGCGUUAUCCGGAUUCACUGGGGUUAAAGGGUGCGUAGGCGGGCAGGUAAGUCAGUGGUGAGAUCCCCGAGCUCAACUUGGGAAUUGCCGUUGAUACUAUCUGUCUUGAAUAUCGUGGAGGUGAGCGGAAUAUGUCAUGUAGCGGUGAAAUGCUUAGAUAUGACAUAGAACACCCAUUGCGAAGGCAGCUCACUACACGAUAAUUGACGCUGAGGCACGAAAGCGUGGGGAGCAAACAGG
rnacentral:rRNA from 1 species